rnacentral:rRNA from 1 species
AGUGGCGAACGGGUGAGUAACACGUAGGUAACUUACCUCUAAGACGAGGAUAACGACUGGAAACGGUCGCUAAAACUGGAUAGGAUCAUUGGAGGCAUCUCUGAUGAUUUAAAAGGGCUUUACAGCCAUGCUUAGAGAAAGACCUGCGGCGCAUUAGCUAGUUGGUGGGGUAGAGGCCUACCAAGGCGAUGAUGCGUAGCCGGACUGAGAGGUCGAACGGCCACAUUGGGACUGAGACACGGCCCAAACUCCUACGGGAGGCAGCAGUAGGGAAUUUUCGGCAAUGGGGGAAACCCUGACCGAGCAACGCCGCGUGAAUGAAGAAGUAUUUCGGUAUGUAAAGUUCUUUUAUUGAGGAAGAAUGGGUUGGGUAGGAAAUGACCUAACCGUGACGGUACUCAAUGAAUAAGCCCCGGCUAACUAUGUGCCAGCAGCCGCGGUAAUACAUAGGGGGCAAGCGUUAUCCGGAAUUAUUGGGCGUAAAGGGUGCGUAGGCGGUCUGUUAAGUCUAAGGUGUAAGUUCAAGGCUCAACCUUGUGAUGCUUUAGAAACUGGCGGACUAGAGAUAGAUAGAGGCAAGUGGAAUUCCAUGUGUAGCGGUAAAAUGCGUAAAUAUAUGGAGGAACACCAGUGGCGAAGGCGGCUUGCUGGGUCUAUACUGACGCUGAGGCACGAAAGCGUGGGGAGCAAACAGGAUUAGAUACCCUGGUAGUCCACGCC